UACAGAGGGUGCGAGCGUUGUUCGGAAUUACUGGGCGUAAAGCGCGCGCAGGCGGCCUUUUAAGUCCGACGGUGAAAUGCCGGGGCUCAACCCCGUGCCCGCCGCGGAUACUGGGAGGCUGGAGACGAGUAGAGGCAAGCGGAAUUCCGGGUGUAGCGGUGGAAUGCGUAGAGAUCCGGAAGAACACCGGAGGCGAAGGCGGCUUGCUGGGCUAGGUCUGACGCUGAGGCGCGAAAGCGUGGGGAGCGAACAGG
rnacentral:rRNA from 1 species